GUUCAGCUUCCUUCCUUCCACACAGAGCUGAUCCACAAACACUCACACUGCCAUUGCGCCACAGCACCAGAACUUUUCAGCCUGUACACCUGCGCCACACAAACCCCCACCAAUAACAACCGGAAGAUAACAGAAAAAGAAAAAAACCAAAAAAGCGAAAGCUCCAAGCCUACCUCUACUGAGAGGAAGAAGCGGCAGCGGCAGCCGCAGCAAUGGCAGCAGCCGCUCUCCAGUGCUGCCCUCUGCUGAGCUCACCGCCGGCAUCAUCCAUCUUGCCGCCUUCCUCUGUAAGAACACCGGCGGUUAGCAGGACAGGGGAGGCCAGGACGAGGAGGCUGCAGCGAUGCCGCUGUUCCCAGUCUGCCGAGGGGCGAUCGCCGGGUAGCUCGCCACCGCAGCUGGAGCGCCUCUUCUCCAAUGUCAACCAGGCCACCAUGAAGCACGAGCCUGGGAGUAUCACCGGUUCCGUCUUCCUUGUGGCCGGCACAACGGUCGGGGCAGGUAUCCUCGCGAUCCCUGCCGUCACACAAGAAGCUGGAUUCUUGGCCUCAGCAGUCACAUGCGUUUUCUGCUGGACAUAUAUGGUAAUAGAAUCAGAAUUGACUGGGUAAACUAUCAAACCCGAUGUAUUAGAGGUGACAUGCAGUCAGAGAAGCCUCUCAAAGGUUGUAACAGGGCUGUUAGUUGCUGAAGUAAAUGUCAAUACAAUGUGUGAACUAGGAUCUGGAAGUGUCUCGCUGGUUUCAAUGGCCAAGCGCACUCUAGGGACAGCUGGAGUAAGAACAGUUUGCUUUUCAUAUUUGUUUAUACAUUAUGCACUUCUUGUUGCGUAUGUGGCACGCUCUUCAGAGAUCUUAACGAACUCACUGGGCAUUCCAUUAUGGGAGAGUGCCACCCUGUUUUCACUGGCUUUUGGUGGACUAUGUUACUUCGGAAGUCAGCGAGUCAUUGGUGCCGUGAAUGGUUUUUUGGUGUUCAGUAUCAUAGCAUCCUUCACACUUCUUGUGGUGGUGGCAAGUGGAAACAUACAGUGGAGUUCUCUUCUCGAAACGAAUUUUGCUGCUGCUCCCCAAAGUAUACCAAUAAUUUCUCUUUCAUUUGUAUAUCAGAAUGUAGUUCCUGUUCUCUGCACAAAUUUGGAGGGAGACCUGUCAAAAGUAAGGAAGGCCAUUGUAUUAGGUACUGCCAUACCCCUUGCUCUGUUUCUCGUAUGGGAUGCUGUCAUCCUGGGGACAAUCCCGGGGUUUGCAGAAAGUGGGGCUAUUACUGAUCCGCUACAACAACUUAGGUCAAGCAAUGGUACAGUGGGGCCUAUUGUUGAGGCAUUCUCAUUUCUGGCAAUAGGCACAUCAUACAUCGGAUUUGUUCUGGGACUCACAGACUUCAUCGCAGACUUGCUCAAACUACCAAGUGGACAGAACAAACCUCUGACAUACCUUGUAACUUUGUUCCCUCCGCUUGUUCUGUCACUGCUUGAUCCAGAGAUAUUUUUCAAGGCAUUGGACUUUGCAGGAACUUAUGGAGUUCUAGUACUCUUUGGAGUUUUCCCUGCAGCUAUGUCUUGGUCAGAGAGAUACUCAAAUGACUUGGAAGCUCCUAUAUCCCCUAUAGUCCCAGGAGGAAAAUUAACCCUCUCAUUUGUUAUGGGGGGUGCCUUGCUUGUAAUAUUUUCAGAGGUUUUCAAGGACAUAAUGCAGUUACAAGGACUACAUUGACAAUCAUGAUGUGCAAAGCUCCACUACUGAUGCUUCUGCAGAUUUUUGUGCAAUGUUGCUAAUAAGAGGUAUUAACACAUCCAAAAGAGAAUAGUAGCCUUUCUUAACCCCUUCGGCAGUUUCAUCAAGAUAUUCUUGUUUUUUUUUUUUGAGAAAUGUCAAGUUGAGUUGUGUUGUAAAUAUUUACCAUAUACCACUUUUUCUAGUAUAUAUUUAUCAAUAGGGUCCUCUCCUACUGCUACUUUACAUAAUGCUAUGCGUGAGUUGUAUAACCUAAGUAUUCUUUAUUUAUUUUUAUC
rnacentral:rRNA from 1 species